rnacentral:lncRNA from 1 species
UGGAUGCCGACUGCCGUUAAACCUCAUCGAAGAAGACGGAAAGGAAGAGGAAAAGAGAGGAUCAACUCGGCGGCAAAUCUGUCUCCCCCAGCAGGUCGCGGUUUUUUUUCGUUGUUUCGCCCACCAAGCAAGUCGUUUUGUAUGUAGGUCAAUGACAAUGUCGAAUUUGGUCAACUAAAAUAUGAAUGCUUUAUAUGCUACGUGAGAUUAAUUUGAUCGAAUAGAAGUUUCGUAAUGCUUUAAUUGUUAUGAGUGUACAGAUAUAAGUAGGACACGUGACAUCCCGGCAACUUUGAGAAACAACACUUUUUUAUUGGAGUUGCCUCGAGAUGACAUGCAUAUUCAUGUGAUGAGGCAGUAGCAUAGCAUAGAAAGGAUAGGCGGGAACUAGACAGCCCCUUUGUGGACAACAACUUCCAUUUUUAGGGCAGAGAGACAUGUAGUAUCUUGUCAGUAUAUCCAUUAUCUUUGGCUAAAUACAAACGACAUAAUCCCGUGUUGAAAUGGGUUGAGAUUACGUCAACUAAGAAACAAUAUAUUUUUUUAGCCACACCUAUCAGUCAUUGAGAUAUAUAUGAAUAAUUAUAUGUUCGUGGAUUUCAUUGUUUUUUUUUAGCUCGCAGCCCUGAUGGCUGGUCUCAGACAGUCCCGCAGUUGUAGAAGCUGGAGGUGGAGAUCCUGGGCUGGCAUGGUUACACGUGGUCUGCGGUUGUGAGGCCGGUUGGACGUACUGCCAAACUCUCUAAAACGACGAUGGAGGUGGCUUAUGCCAUGACUCUGAGCAUGUCUCCGGCUGCGGUGUGCCAGUGCUUUACGCUGGUGUCACUGUGCACAUCCAUCGCCGACCCAAACUGGAUCCAAGUCAUCAACAACACUGACCCCGGAGGCAAACAGCUCAUCUAUGGUGUGGCUUUCAUACUGCAUGCGCCCCAGAACCUCACUGACACAGGUCCCCUGGGUGGCAUAAAUGGCUGGGGGGUGUGGCUGCUCUAUGCCCUGGCGGCUCUGUGCUACAGUGCUGUCCUGCUCUCCAGCUCCUCCUUCCUAUUGGACUUCCUGGGGACUGGGAUGUCCCACCCUCGACUGGUGGUGUUACUCCACAUCUCCACAGUGGUUCUCCUCCUGUCUGUUCUGGGAGUUUGUGGGGCCUGCCUGUACAUCAUCCACUGCAACCUUCAGGAGGGCAAGUUUGGGCCACUGUGGGAAUGGGUAGGGGGCUGGACCUGGCCUGGGUCUGGCUCCAGGAGCCAGGGAGGGGCGGCGGGGAUGAAGCCUUACCCAGGGGAGAGCUUCUACAUCACCAUGCUGGGCCUGCUCUUCUCCUGCCUGGCCGGUGUGAGCAGCCUGGGGGACCCCACCUCCACCCAGAGGGACUACACAGCUGUGGUGGAGUGGGACGACAGUGACACAGAGCCCCUUACCCCCAGGGAGCAGGGAGUGGGACAGUCUGAUGAAGAGGAGGGGGUAGGAGACGUGUUGCCUGAACUGACUCAGGGGGAGAACAGAAGUGUCCAGUCCAGUUACUCUCAUUCCCACUCAUCUGCUGUAUGUGUUGGUGUCCGUCAUCUCUGCCUCCUAUAGGUUAAUUUCCAACCAACAUCAUCAGGAAAUGGUCUUCAUCCAAAACCACAAGAUGACCACACAUGACCAGAACUGUCCCACAUCUUUCCCGAAGUCUUUCUGAAUGCAUAGGUAGGUUUUAGGGUUAGCCAGGCAGGACUCGCUGUGAACAUGAUGUCCCCUCUGUCAGCAAGCAAUGACUUCAGCAGACAAACCACUCCUUGGUAAAUAUAAAUAAUCUAAAGAUAUGGUUGAAUAUAGCCAAUAUCUAUCCUAUUAGUAGAUUGGCACAAGGUUGGUUUACACCUGGGUUGCACUGUUCCAAUCAAAGCUUACCCCCCCCUCUCUUUUCCUUUCCCCAAAGCUUCCUCUACUGUCACGACUCCACUCCCGUCUCCCAUUGGAUGAAAACCAUUGCCAUAGUAACCUUGACAAAUUGUUGAUGUUGCCAGUGAAUUUGUGAAUGAGAGAUAAGAAAGGAGAGAAGCAGGGGAGAGUCAAAGAGCCUAUUUUAGUGGUGGUGUUGCGCCGAUGGGUAACUGAGUGUGUGUGUGUGAGUCUGAGCCUGUAUGUACAGUCUGAGCCUGUAGGUACAAUUGGAAGUAUACAUACACUUAGGUUGGAAUCAUUAAAACUUGUUUUUAAACCACUCCACAAAUUUCUUGUUAACAAGCUAUAGUUUUAGCAAGUUGGUUAGAACAUCUACUUUGUGCAUGAUACAAGUAAUUUUUCCAACAAUUGUUUACAGACAGAUUAUUUCACUUAUAAUUCACUGUAUCACAAUUCCAGUGGGUCAGAAGUGUAUAUACACUAAGUUGACUGUGCCUUUAAACAGCUUGGAAAAUUCCAGAAAAUUAUGUAAUGGCUUUAGAAGCUUCUGAUGAGCUUAUUGACAUCAUUUGAGUCAAUUGAAGGUGUACCUGUGGAUGUAUUUCAAGGCCUACCUUCAAACUCAGUGCCUCUGCUUGACAUCAUGGAAAAUCCAAAGAAAUCAGCCAAGACCUCAGGAAAAAAAUUGGAGACCUCCACAAGUCUGGUUCAAGAUUGGGAGCAAUUUCCAAACGCCUGAAGGUACCACAUUCAUCUGUACAAACAGUAGUACGCAAGUAUAAACACCAUGGGAACACGCAGCAGUCAUACCACUCAGGAAGAAGACGCGUUCUGUCUCCUAGAGAUCACCGUGCUUUGGUGCGAAAAGUGCAAAUCAAUCCGAGAACAACAGCAAAGGACCUUGUGAAGAUGCUGGAGGAAACAGGUACAAAAGUAUCUAUAUCCCCAAUAAAACGAGUCCUAUAUCGACAUAACCUGAAAGGCCGCUCAGCAAGGAAGAAGCCACUGCUCCAAAGCCCCAAUAAAAAAGUCAGACUACGGUUUGCAGCUGCACAUGGGGACAAAGAUCGUACUUUUUGGAGAAAUGUCCUCUGGUCUGAUGAAUCAAAAAUAGAACUUUGGCCAUAAUGACCAUCGUUAUGUUUGGAGGAAAAAGGGGGAGGCUUGCAAGCCGAAGAACCCAACCGUGAAGCACGGGAGUGGCAGCAUCAUGUUGUGGGGGUGCUUUGCUGUAGGAGGGACUGGUGCACUUCACAAAAUAGAUGGCAUCAUGAGGGAGGAAAAUGAUGUGGAUAUAUUGAAGCAACAUAUCAAGACAUCAGUCAGGAAGUUAAAGCUUGGUCGCAAAUGGGUCUUACAAAUGGACAAUGACCCCAAGCAUUCUUCCAAAGUUGUGGCAAAAUGGCUUAAGGACAACAAAGUCAAGGUAUUGGAGUGGCCAUCACAAAGCCCUGAUCUCAAUCCUAUAGAAAAUAUGUGGGCAGAACUGAAAAAGGGUGUGUGAGCAAGGAGGCCUACAAACCUGACUCAGUUACACCAGCUCUUGUCAGGAGCAAUGGGCCAAAAUUGACCCAACUUAUUGUGGAAUGCUUGUGGAAGGCUACCCAAAAUGUUUGACCCAAGUUAAACAAUUUAAAGGCAAUGCUACCAAAUACUAAUUGAGUAUAUGUAAACUUCUGACCAACUGGGAAUGUGAUGAAAGAAAUAAAAGCUGAAAUAAAUCAUUCUCUCUACUAUUAUUCUGACAUUUCACGUUCUUAAAAUAAACUGGUGAUUCUAACUGACCUAAGACAGGGAAUCUUUACUCGGAUUAAAUGUCAGGGAUUGUGAAAAACUG